UACAGAGGUGGCAAGCGUUGUUCGGAAUUACUGGGCGUAAAGGGCGCGUAGGUGGCCUUUUGAGUCAGACGUGAAAUCCCCCGGCUUAACCUGGGAACUGCGUCUGAUACUGGAAGGCUUGAGUUCGGGAGAGGGAUGUGGAAUUCCAGGUGUAGCGGUGAAAUGCGUAGAUAUCUGGAGGAACACCGGUGGCGAAGGCGACAUCCUGGACCGGUAUUGACGCUGAGGCGCGAAAGCCAGGGGAGCAAACGGG
rnacentral:rRNA from 1 species